rnacentral:lncRNA from 1 species
CCACGCUGCGCUUUGUCUCUCCUUCCAACAACCGUACAAUUAUACUUCUUCUUGUGUAUUUCUAUAGGCAUGCUAUUCCAAGUGAAGGGUUUCAAUCAACCUGAAGGCUUGCUUUGUUUUCAGUAAUGGCUUCUGUCUUUCUACUCCCUCCUGCUGCCUGUGGGCUGAACGCUAUAUUCAUGUUACACUGGAAGUGGUGGUUAUUCGAUGGAGCUUUUAAGGGGUUGUCUUGGUCAGUCGUGUGGUUAACUGUCAAUCUGUGGGUUACGGUCAAUCUGUGGGUUAACUGUCAAUCUGUGGGUUAACUGUCAGUCUGUGGGUUAACUGUCAGUCU